UUCGAUUGAUGAAACUGGUUGGACCGCUUUGGGUAAUGCUUUCAUGUUAUUGUUGUUGUUAGUGCCUCUCUCUGGUACUGCUUCAUGGUUCCUCAAUGGGAGUAGUGACUUGGAUCCUACAGAGGUUGGAGUCAAAGCUGCACCUCCAGCCAUUGUUUUAUCAAAUUUCAACUGAGAUUUUGUGAGGAGUUUAUGGGUGUUAAGUAAGGAGAUUAUGGUGAAUUAUUAUAUGGUAGAGACACCAAAAGAAUGAUUGCGAAGAGUAGGAGAUUGUUAAGUUGUCAUCAAAAUUGUGAUUAAUAGUUAACAAAUUAAGUUUCUGGCAGCCUACUUCUCAACAUGAAGAUGAUUCAUGACAAUUGUCUUCUUGAACAGAGUAAUAAUGUUUUUAAACAUCUUGUAACUAUUUACAACCUACUUUGAUAGGGUAUGGCAGAGUUUAUAGAUAUUUUUCUCUGUAGCUUCAACUUGGGCCACGUGAGAGGAACGUGUCAAAGAGUCAAUUUCAACUUUUUAUAAUGAUUAUUGAUGAAAGUGAGAAUCAUAAAAGCAAUACGACACAGAAGACGCAACAUUUGACAGAAUAAUAAUGCAACAAAAGCUGAGUGGUCUCUGUGGACGUUAGACUAAACUAGUAUUGUAUUGAGGGCUUAAAGUAAGCUAGCCACUAAUCUUGAACUUAGUUUUGUCACUUUGCUCUGUCUCGGCCUGCGUCAUCAGUCCAUACAAAAUCUAUGAAUUGAUAGUUUUAUUUUAUCUCUCUUACUCGCUUACGUCACGGCUCUCAUCACAGAAACCUUUGAACACACGUCUUUUGACUGACAAAAAGAUCCGUACAACCAAGACAUGAAUACUUUUAUCAAACAAAACAACAAAACGCCUCCAGAGAUUGCAGCAACUACACACUCGACAGGCUCUUUUUUUAUCAUCAUCAGAGAGGGUUUAAUCAUUGCCAUCUCUCCACAAGCACCAAACGUUAUGUCGAUCAUUCAAUCACUAUGCUAAGGAGACACAGAGCAUUUCAAGACUUGAAGAAGCUUCUUUAGAACCGAGUGUAAUAGCUAUUUCUUAUCCACAAGUCUUCUCAGGCUUUUGUAAUGUGAGUCUCUGUGCCACUAGGAGAAAGAGAUCCAUCUUUAGUCUCAACAAUCUCUAUGCUUGCGGUUCUGCUCUUUCUGUUCCUCCUCUCCUGCCAACACAUGAAGAUAUUGUUUGAUUAUUACAAAUGCGGAAACAUAUAAACUAUUUGCUGCAUCUUUGGAUCAUCAUACCUGUCCAAAAGGGUGUUCUUCGGAUUCAAGCAUCCGCACAACCUGACUCAUUCUAGGACGUUUCUCUGCUUCAGGAUCAACACAUCUAAGUGAAACCAAAAGUGCACGUUUCAGAGCACUCUUACUUGGCCUAGGUUCAAGUCUUGGAUCAACAACUUCUUCGGCUCUUCUUGUUCCAACCAUCAUCUUCAGCCAUUCAACAAGAUUCACCUGCCAAUACACAGACUCAAAUCAAUAUCUUUUACAAAAACAACAAAAGCAAAACCAAUUAUGUAAGCCUAACCUCAUUAGCAGGACGUCCAUAAUCAACCGGAUCUCGUCCAGUUACAGCUUCAAGAAGCAAAACACCAAAGCUAUAUAUAUCACUCUUUUCAUUUAACAACCCUGAGUUAGCAUAUUCUGGCGCUACAUAUCUGAAAAAAAUAAUCAAAAAAUAAAGCAAUGAUUUCUUCUGUAAGGACAUUAAUAAUUAACCAUUAUGGCCUCAAUAGAGUACAAAGCUUUUUGGACAUUACCCAAAGGUUCCCAUGACUCUGGUAGUGAUGUGACUCUCACCAGAGUCCAAGAGCUUGGCUAACCCAAAGUCAGAGAGCUUUGCAUUAAACUCAUCAUCAAUUAAUAUAUUGCUUGCUUUUAUAUCUCUAUGGACCACUUUUGGUUCUAUUGCUUCAUGUAAGUAAGCAAGCCUGUAAAGUUGCAGACCACUUUAAUUAUUGAAGCAAUUCAAUAAAAGCUUAUACAGAUUCAAAACCACUUACGCUUGUGCAGUACCGAUAAGGAUCUUCAUCCUUGCCUCCCAAGUGAGGCUUCCAUGUUGCCUCAUAGCUCCGUGUAACCAUUGCUCUAAGUUACCACUAUUCACAUACUCAUAAACAAGCAUCCUGCGUUCAUAACCAUAAUUAGAACACAGUAAAGAUCAUUCUCAUCUGGUAAAGUGUCAAAAUGAUAAAAAGACAAGAGAGAGAGACUCACCGAUGAACUCCCUCUAUGCAAUAUCCUAAAAGCCUAACGAGAUUCUUGUGUCGUACAUGACCAAUAGCCUCAACUUCUACCCUGAACUCCUUCUCAGCUUGUCCUCUACAGACCAAAAUUUAGAAUGAGAUUGUAAAGAAAACGAAUCAUUUUGCAAUCCAAUUGACAACUUACAGAUUGUUAAAAAGCUUCUUCACAGCAACCUCAGUACCAUUGGCGAGUUUACCCUUAUAAACAACUCCAUAACCACCCUCUCCAAUCACAUUCUCAGCAGAGAAACGGUCCGUGGCAAGCUCAAGAUCCCUAAGAGUAAACCAAUGUCCCCAACCAAGAUGAGAUAUCUCCGGUAAACCAACCAAAGGAGACGCUGUCACAAGCCCUCCUCCUCCGUACUGUCUCCCAACGCUUCCAAAGCCUGCUUCAUCACCGGAAUGAGAACUACAAGCCCUCUCAUGGUGGUUAUUCACAGAGCUGCAUCUACUCAGAGUAUCAUUAUCACUAGACUUGGUUCUCGCCAAGUGAGACAUCAUCGUGGACUUGUUGUCAUUCAUUGCUAUAUAUAAACUCUCGGGUUGAGGGUUGUUGUGGCUCUGAAACCCUGCCGCCCUGUCGACUCUGAUGUCUUUGGACACGUGUGGUAUUUGGUUGAAAGAUCUUCUAGACUUGCGGCGGAAUGUGAUCCAGAGAGACAAGAUGCAGAGAAUCAUCACUAUGAACACUCCAACUACUAAACAAACCCAUACCCAUAGCUUCAGACCCUUCAGACCAAAAAAUGAUAUCUUCUUGGACAUCUCAGCGUUUAAAGAACUCUCGGAUGCCAUCUUCCACUUGCCAAAACUGUCUUUUUUUUUUGCUUCUCGUACAAGUUCACUGUAAUAACAACCAAGACAACAACAACAACAGUGUCUCAGAUUUAAACACUUUCAUACAUCAUACAAUGACUAUCAGAGACUCACACUUUCACAGAAACAGUUGAUAAAAAUGCAAACUUUCAUGGUAAGUUCAUUAAUUGAAUUUUGCGGCAUAUCAACAAACAUGUUAUGGGCAUUACGUGUCCCCACCAAAGAUGGGAGCUUUUUUAAACCAGAGAAAAGGCAUCACUUAAGUUUGAAGCAAGAGACAAAUUUGAAGAGAAUCAAACAGAUAAUGUUAUAUAAAUAAAAACAUUCAGGUUGGAAAAAAAAACGUUUUUUUCUUUCUCAUGAAACAAAGAAGAGAGCAUAAAUCUUUACCUUAGAAUGUGGGGUUUCUCUUUUGAUUUAAACAAUGGCAAUAACAGCAAAAAGGCUCCAUUUUUAUUUCCCUUUUUGGAGAAAAACAGAGAGAAAGGGAAGUAAACAGAGCAAAAUCCAACAAGAAAAAAAAAACAGAGUAUCUCAAAGAAGAAUAUAUAGAAAAUACAUAGUGAUGGAGAAAAGAAGUUUGGUGGGUCUGUAGUAAAGCUGGAGAGAAAGCUUUGUUUGCAAUGGAGGAAACAAGAGAGAGAGAGAGAGUAGUGUGAGCAGUGAAGGUGAAGGAAAGAUACUGGACUUGUCAACUGUGAGAUUUAUAGCUGGUUGAAAUAUUAAAAAAAAAAAAAUUUUACAAUUUUAAAAUAAUCAUUUAAAAAUUCAUAGAGAUAGGGGGCAAAGCACAGAAGAGGGAAUUCCCAAACACAGGCUUUGGAAUUUUAAGGUCAAUAUUAUUCUCACUCCUCAAUAUGUCUAUCUAUUUUUUCUUCAAGCUUGAUCCAGAUGAAACUUGUGGUUAUGUGCUCAUGUCUAAUGCUUAUGCUUCGUAUGGGCUGUUCGAAGAGGCGGUUGAGCAGAGGGUUUUGAUGAAGGAAAGACAAAUGGAGAAGGAAAUAGGGUGCAGUUCGAUUGAAGUAGAUUUCCAAGUUCAUGAGUUUGUUUCUUGCGGGAAAAGACACCCUAAAUCCUCAGAGAUUUACAGUUUACUUGGUGUUUUGAACUGGGACGCCUCUGCGUUAAACUCAGAAGUUGGCAAACAACUUUUGUCAUUAAAAGAUACUUAGGUAAUGGUUAUUACUGAUUUACCAUAAUGCAAUCAGUUAUCAUUUAGAUAAUCAUUAUGUUUUUAUAAGUUUUUUCUUUUUUACUGUUGCAGGUAUAAACUACAGAGGAAGAUUACUCUCUGUUCUUUCACCAAACUCAUGGUUUGAUCUUUGAUUCCAAGGUAAAUUAACUAUAUGGUACGUUGAUAUGAUGAACCAUGGAGAUAGGGUUAUGAUUAAGGUUUGGACAUGGCACGCUGCGCAGCCCCCCAGGAGUAGAUAUCAGAGCCCGAGUUUCCAUUAGUGAGCAGGUUCUGAGGCAGUCCAUGAAUGUCAUCUAAGGGACGGGAUCUUCCGUUCUGGUAGUAUUGCUGGUUGUGCAUAGAAGCAGCUUCAUCAUCAUCCAGAGGAAGACGAUCAAACACAGCGUUCAUGAAAGAUGCAGCCAUGAGAACAACGGGACCAGAUGCGAUUAGCCCACCAACCACUCCUCCACCCACAACCUGGCCUUGAGGGCCGGCUAAGUAAAUGGUCAAACCAGUGAUCCCAAGCGGUGCUGGUGGAGGCAGGAUUGAUCCAAGCAACGAGAGGAUCUCGAAACGUCCGUGUAAUGUCACAAUACCUCCUGAUGAAGCUGGCUGCCUUAACGUCACAUUGUUGACGCAGCCGUUGGCACUUAGUAUGCAGAGACCUCUCUGUUUCCUUCUUGCGUAAUCCGAUAAAGUCUCGCAGAUGUCAUUACCUGAGCUGAUCUCAACGGCGUGAGCUCUGAGGGAAUUGGGACUGUCGUGAGUGACAAUGAUUGGUGGUUUGGGUUUGUUCUUGGAGCCAGCUGGUCUACCUCGCGGCCUCUUAGCCAUCUCUCCUUCGAUUGAUGAAACUGGUUGGACCGCUUUGGGUAAUGCUUUCAUGUUAUUGUUGUUGUUAGUGCCUCUCUCUGGUACUGCUUCAUGGUUCCUCAAUGGGAGUAGUGACUUGGAUCCUACAGAGGUUGGAGUCAAAGCUGCACCUCCAGCCAUUGUUUUAUCAAAUUUCAACUGAGAUUUUGUGAGGAGUUUAUGGGUGUUAAGUAAGGAGAUUAUGGUGAAUUAUUAUAUGGUAGAGACACCAA
rnacentral:lncRNA from 1 species